UAUUCCACUCCGGCUUCCUGCUUUAAUCCUAACCCCCGGUGAAUAGUUCCUACGGCUGUAAUCACGUUGAUUCUUACCUUGAGCUAGAUUGGUUUGAAUGAAUUCGCUGUUUAGUAUAUCGAAUGAAUAUUUAGGUGUCCUGCAGUUUAGCUUCUAAAUUUCAUUUGUUGUUGUUGCGAAGUUGUUAUGAGUAGCCCAAACCCUAACCCUGGGAGGUUAGACCCAGGAGGUAAGAGCCAGAUCCCAGCCAUUCUAAAGGAAGAUUGUGUUUACACCAGCUGUUAUUGUGAAGAAAAUAUAUGGAAACUUUGUGAAUACAUAAAGAACAGAAGACAACAUCCUCUGGAAGAAUGGUAUACUGUUUUCAUAUCAAACGACCAAAAGAUGGUGCCCAUUUGGAGUCAGCAGUCUGGCAGUGGAGAUCAGCCUGUAAUCUGGGUAAGUGAUUCUUUUGUAAAUCAAUAUUUAUAGCUACACUUUCAAUGGCAUAAGAAUUUUUCAGUCCUU